rnacentral:rRNA from 1 species
AGUGGCGAACGGGUGAGUAAUGUAUCGGAACGUACCUUUCAGUGGGGGAUAACGUAGCGAAAGUUACGCUAAUACCGCAUAUUCUGUGAGCAGGAAAGCAGGGGAUCGAAAGACCUUGCGCUGAUUGAGCGGCCGAUAUCAGAUUAGCUAGUUGGUGGGGUAAAGGCCUACCAAGGCGACGAUCUGUAGCGGGUCUGAGAGGAUGAUCCGCCACACUGGAACUGAGACACGGUCCAGACUCCUACGGGAGGCAGCAGUGGGGAAUUUUGGACAAUGGGGGCAACCUUGAUCCAGCCAUGCCGCGUGAGUGAAGAAGGCCUUCGGGUUGUAAAGCUCUUUCGGCCGGGAAGAAAUCGCAUAGGCUAAUACCCUGUGUGGAUGACGGUACCGGAAUAAGAAGCACCGGCUAACUACGUGCCAGCAGCCGCGGUAAUACGUAGGGUGCGAGCGUUAAUCGGAAUUACUGGGCGUAAAGCGUGCGCAGGCGGUUUCGUAAGACAGAGGUGAAAUCCCCGGGCUCAACCUGGGAACUGCCUUUGUGACUGCGAGGCUAGAGUACGGCAGAGGGGGGGUGGAAUUCCACGUGUAGCAGUGAAAUGCGUAGAGAUGUGGAGGAACACCGAUGGCGAAGGCAGCCCCCUGGGCCGAUACUGACGCU